UGAGGAAUAUUGGUCAAUGGUCGCUAGACUGAACCAGCCGAGUAGCGUGCGGGAUGAAGGCCCUCCGGGUCGUAAACCGCUUUUAGACGGGGAUAAAAGGGCGUACGUGUACGCCGUAUUGCAUGUACCGUCAGAAAAACGGACCGGCUAAUUCCGUGCCAGCAGCCGCGGUAAUACGGAAGGUCCGGGCGUUAUCCGGAUUUAUUGGGUUUAAAGGGAGCGUAGGCGGACUUUCAAGUCAGUGGUAAAAUCGUGUGGCUCAACCAUACCUCGCCAUUGAAACUGGAAGUCUGGAGUGCACACAGGGGUGCCGGAAUUCAUGGUGUAGCGGUGAAAUGCUUAGAUAUCAUGAAGAACUCCGAUCGCGAAGGCAAGUGCCCGGGGUGCAACUGACGCUGAGGCUCGAAGGUGCGGGUAUCGAACAGGAUUAGAUACC
rnacentral:rRNA from 1 species